GACAGAGGAUGCAAGCGUUAUCCGGAAUGAUUGGGCGUAAAGCGUCUGUAGGUGGCUUUUUAAGUCCGCCGUCAAAUCCCAGGGCUCAACCCUGGACAGGCGGUGGAAACUACCAAGCUGGAGUACGGUAGGGGAGAUUGGAAUUCCUGGUGUAGCGGUGAAAUGCGCAGAUAUCAGGAGGAACACCGAUGGCGAAGGCAGGUCUCUGGGCAUUAACUGACGCUGAGGAGCGAAAGCAUGGGGAGCGAACAGG
rnacentral:rRNA from 1 species